rnacentral:rRNA from 1 species
GUUUGAUCCUGGCUCAGGAUGAACGCUAGCGGCAGGCUUAACACAUGCAAGUCGAGGGGCAGCAUGAAUGUAGCAAUACAUUUGAUGGCGACCGGCGCACGGGUGCGUAACGCGUAUGCAACCUACCUAUAACAGGGGGAUAAUCCGAAGAAAUUUGGUCUAAUACCCCAUAAUAUCUGAGAAGGCAUCUUUUCAGGUUGAAAGCUCCGACGGUUAUAGAUGGGCAUGCGUUGUAUUAGGUAGUUGGUGA